CGCCUUGUGGUUAAAGUGGUCGCCAGACUAUACUGGUGUUGUGGAGCGGUCGGGUCGCCUUGUGGUUAAAGUGGUUGUCAGACUAUACGGGGCUAGUGGAGCGGUCGGGUCGCCUUGUGGUUAAAGUGGUCGCCAGACUAUACUGGUGUU